UCCGAUAUGGUGUAGUGGCCAACAUGAUGCCCUCUCAUCUCAGUGAGAGGUUAGGCAUAGCCCCGAGUUCGAUUCUCGGUUUCGGAA
rfam:Colletotrichum gloeosporioides Cg-14 contig03703, whole genome shotgun sequence.